rnacentral:rRNA from 1 species
GAUGAACGCUGGCGGCGUGCCUAAUACAUGCAAGUCGAGCGAACGGACGAGAAGCUUUCUUCUCUUAUGUUAGCGGCGGACGGGUGAGUAACACGUGGAUAACCUACCUAUAAGACUGGGAUAACUUCGGGAAACCGGAGCUAAUACCGGAUGAUAUUUUGAACCGCAUGGUUCAAAAGUGAAAGACGGUCUUGCUGUCACUUAUAGAUGGAUCCGCGCUGCAUUAGCUAGUUGGUAAGGUAAUGGCUUACCAAGGCAACGAUGCAUAGCCGACCUGAGAGGGUGAUCGGCCACACUGGAACUGAGACACGGUCCAGACUCCUACGGGAGGCAGCAGUAGGGAAUCUUCCGCAAUGGGCGAAAGCCUGACGGAGCAACGCCGCGUGAGUGAUGAAGGUCUUCGGAUCGUAAAGCUCUGUUAUUAGGGAAGAACAUAUGUGUAAGUAACUGUGCACAUCUUGACGGUACCUAAUCAGAAAGCCACGGCUAACUACGUG